rnacentral:rRNA from 1 species
GACGAACGCUGGCGGCGUGCUUAACACAUGCAAGUCGAACGGAAAGGCCUGCUUUCCCUUGUGGAUUGCGGGUACUCGAGUGGCGAACGGGUGAGUAACACGUGAGUGAUCUGCCCCCAACUUGGGUAUAAGCCUGGGAAACUGGGUCUAAUUCCCGAUAGGACUGCAGGGUGGUGCCUGUGGUGGAAAACGAUUUUCUAGUGGUUGGGGAUGAGCUCGCGGCCUAUCAGCUUGUUGGUGGGGUAAUGGCCUACCAAGGCGGCGACGGGUAGCCGGCGUGGGAGGGUGGACGGCGACAUUGGGACUGGGAUACGGCCCAGACGCCUACGGGAGGCAGCAGUGGGGAAUAUUGGACAGUGGGCGGAAGCCUGAUGCAGCGACGCCGCGUGGGGGAUGACGGGCUUCGGGUUGUAAACUCCUUUCGACCGAGAGGAAGCCACCUGGUUGGAAGGGUGGUGACGGUAGUGGUAGAAGAAGCACCGGCUAACUACGUG